rnacentral:rRNA from 1 species
UUUAAUUCGAAGCAACGCGAAGAACCUUACCAGGUCUUGACAUCCUCUGACACUCCUAGAGAUAGGAUUUUCCCUUCGGGGACAGAGUGACAGGUGGUGCAUGGUUGUCGUCAGCUCGUGUCGUGAGAUGUUGGGUUAAGUCCCGCAACGAGCGCAACCCUUGAUCUUAGUUGCCAGCAUUUAGUUGGGCACUCUAAGGUGACUGCCGGUGACAAACCGGAGGAAGGUGGGGAUGACGUCAAAUCAUCAUGCCCCUUAUGACCUGGGCUACACACGUGCUACAAUGGAUGGUACAAAGGGUUGCAAGACCGCGAGGUUUAGCUAAUCCCAUAAAACCAUUCUCAGUUCGGAUUGCAGGCUGCAACUCGCCUGCAUGAAGCCGGAAUCGCUAGUAAUCGUGGAUCAGCAUGCCACGGUGAAUACGUUCCCGGGCCUUGUACACACCGCCCGUCACACCACGAGAGUUUGUAACACCCGAAGUCGGUGGGGUAACCGUAAGGAGCCAGCCGCCUAAGGUGGGACAGAUGAUUGGGGUG